rnacentral:rRNA from 1 species
UAGGGAAUCUUCGGCAAUGGACGAAAGUCUGACCGAGCAACGCCGCGUGAGUGAAGAAGGUUUUCGGAUCGUAAAACUCUGUUGUUAGAGAAGAACAAGGACGUUAGUAACUGAACGUCCCCUGACGGUAUCUAACCAGAAAGCCACGGCUAACUACGUGCCAGCAGCCGCGGUAAUACGUAGGUGGCAAGCGUUGUCCGGAUUUAUUGGGCGUAAAGCGAGCGCAGGCGGUUUCUUAAGUCUGAUGUGAAAGCCCCCGGCUCAACCGGGGAGGGUCAUUGGAAACUGGGAGACUUGAGUGCAGAAGAGGAGGGUGGAAUUCCAUGUGUAGCGGUGAACUGCGUAGAUAUAUGGAGGAACACCAGUGGCGAAGGCGGCUCUCUGGUCUGUAACUGACGCUGAGGCUCGAAAGCGUGGGGAGCAAACAGG